rnacentral:rRNA from 1 species
AGUGAACGCUGGCGGUAGGCCUAACACAUGCAAGUCGAACGGCAGCACAGUAAGAGCUUGCUCUUACGGGAGGCGAGUGGCGGACGGGUGAGGAAUACAUCGGAAUCUACUUUUUCGUGGGGGAUAACGUGGGGAAACUUACGCUAAUACCGCAUACGACCUACGGGUGAAAGCAGGGGAUCUUCGGACCUUGCGCGAUUGAAUGAGCCGAGGUCGGAUUAGCUAGUUGGCGGGGUAAAGGCCCACCAAGGCGACGAUCCGUAGCUGGUCUGAGAGGAUGAUCAGCCACACUGGAACUGAGACACGGUCCAGACUCCUACGGGAGGCAGCAGUGGGGAAUAUUGGACAAUGGGCGCAAGCCUGAUCCAGCCAUACCGCGUGGGUGAAGAAGGCCUUCGGGUUGUAAAGCCCUUUUGUUGGGAAAGAAAAGCAGCAGGUUAAUACCCCGCUGUUCUGACGGUACCCAAAGAAUAAGCACCGGCUAGCUUCGUG